UGGGACUUAAUUGUUUUUAUGAUAGGAGUGUCUGGAUAACAGGGUCUCCUAAAGGAAAACAAUCCCACGAUACAUAAAAAGACAUGUUACGUUUUUGUAGUCCAACAACGAUCGAAUAUCCAUCGUAAGAUACAUCUGCACUGGUAUUAGUUUAUCAUAGCAAUUAUAGUUUAUAUAUUAAUCAAAUGCUUACUUUGAUUAUAAUUGCUUGAACGUUUCCUUGACUAGAGCCUCGUGCUGAUAACGUGUUAUAAUAUAACAAGAAUUAACACAAGAUUAGUGCUAAAACUUUAAGAAUUUUAGAAAUGUUAUAAGAGAAAGUAUAAGAGAGUUGUAUAACUUAUAAAAGUGUAUACAUGAGGUGCAUUUUUUCUUCUAUCUUGAGCUAGUAUUUAUACUACAAAAAGAUUAACUAUUUGGUAGACAAUGUUAACUAUUUGGUAGACAAGAUUAACUAUUUAGUAGAUAAGGCUAUCCACAAGUUUGACAAAGAGUUCAUCCACUUGCUUGGUAAAUGUAGAGGUGUCUGGUUCGAUCAAACAGAAGGAGGAGGGCGACCCCCACUCUCAAAACCCUAGCAACUCACUAAUCUCACAAAUUGAAGGCUCAAACCAAGUUAAAAUCGAAAAUCGAGCAUAGAUUAUUGAUCCCCAUUGCAAGGGGGUUGUAAGAUAUGAUAUGGUAGUUUGACUCUGACAAGCUAGGUAGGAGCUUGGAAAUGAACGGGUCAAACGGAUACAAGUUCAAGUAUGAAGCUCGCAAGGAUGCAAGGUAAGUAUAACUUACACUAGUCAUAUAUUUUAGAAUGUUCUUUUGUCGUAUUGACUACGAAUAAGACAAAUGGUAAUUUAGUCACACGUUGACAAUAAUCGUUAGUUUUAAAAGACGCUUUCCCGCGUAAGACAUAAAGAGCCGAAAGUGGUAAUAAACGGUUUAUAAAUAAAAUGAGCAUACGGUGUUAAAAGGAGCGAGUCAUGUAGAUGAGAUGAUAAUAAAUAUUAUCUCGCAAAGAUAAACGGUCAAUUCGGCCAAACGGGUCAAAAGGUGUAGACAUCACCUUUUGACAAUAUCGACUAAUGAUUCUGGUGUCGAGUUAUAUGUUUACAGGAGUAGAUAUCCAAUGGAUACUCGAAUCGCUCUUAAUUAGCAAUUAUAAAGCAAAGUAUUAAACCGGGUUAGUAAGUUGAUCCGAGCCAGGUAUGUAUAAUAGAUUAACUCAUCAUGUAGAAUUUGAAGUUCUAUGAAAGUUAGGCAAAAUAAAAAAAGGGCAUUCGGUUACCUUAAUAGGUAAACCGAAGAAUUUAAAUUAUUUAGACAGAAUGUUUUGAAAACAAGAUUUGGUUAAAAAUGAGAAAUUAGAAUCAAACAACAGGUUUGUUUGAUAAAAUCACGAACGGGUCAAAUUUGGUAAAAAGGGGUAAUAAGCCGAAGACUUAAAAGUCUUAAAUUUUGUUAAUCCAGAUGUUGGGUCUUCACUCCAUUUGAUGGAGGUUCAAUUUACAAUCACGUAGGAAGAAACGGUAGGUCAAACGGACAAGCGGAUUGAAAGUUAUGAAGGUUUCCGUUUUAGAAAUCGGCAAACUUGGAAAAUCUUGCAGAGGCCACCGUAAGUUACGGUAGCUACCGUAACUUACGGUAGCCUUAAAAAUCUUUACGCCUUAAACCCACUGAGUUACGGUGGAAGAAUCAACAUUCAGGGGCUACCGUAAAUUACGGUAGCCACCGUAAUUUACGGUAGACCCUGUAACAAAAUUUAUUUUAAUCAGUUUCGUUUCCCAGAACUCGUUAGACACGUUUAUAACCCCCGUAAGACUAAAGCAUUUCUUGUUUAUGAAAUGUAGGUACAUUUUGGAUGCCGGAAGACGAUCAAGCUCAUUGGAGAACCGAACACGAUAAAGAUACAUGCUUCCGCACAGUGUCCCGUCGUAAAUUUUAAACGACGAAUUCAAUUACGUUAUGUCGAAUAACUUAUGAUUUGUAAAAGUUUUAAUAAACCCAUAUUUUUAUAGUAUGUGUAGUCUUAUCUACACAACUAAUUGUUGGUAAUUAUAUGUAAAACCGUUAAAUAGUAA